CCUUUCAUGCCACCCCUCGCAGCCGCCCAUUGUUGCUGCCGGGCGCUGGCAGCCGGGGGCAGUUGUGGCCGGGGAGCGGGCGGAGGAGCAGCCGGCGCCGGUUGCUAGGAGACUGCAGAGCUGCAAGGUGAACACCACCAGCCACCACAUCGGCGGCUCCCCGAGGCUGGCUUCCCACCCUGCGGCAGGUGUAUCAGCCUGGAUGUAAUCUCCCUGUAAGGAGUGUGAAAUUUACAGAAGAAGAAUUACAGCUUAACACUGAAAAAGCUCUUCCUCAUCUGAACCACAGGCUGAGUGUUGCCAAAUAGAAGUUUUCUAUCACAUUUUCUGCAAGAGUCCGAGAAGAUUCUUCUGAAACUUGGGCAUAUCUGUCUCAGAAUGCUCCUAAAAGAUGAAGUAGUAGUCUGGCAAAGUGAACUCAACACACACGAAGAGAUGACAUUAGAGACUAAUCUGCCUCCUGUUCAGAUUCACUGAUAACGUGCAAACCAGAGUCUGCUUACUGUUGUCUGUUCUGGAUACGAUGUCAAAGCAACCAAAGGAGACUUAGAAGUGGUGUGACUCAAUAGAAAAGCAUUUUGGACAGCUUCCUCAGUUGCCAUGCUCUUUCAGAAAGCUGCUCAUGUAGAUAGAUGUAAGAGAGGUUGCAGAAGGAAUGAACUUACUGGGGGGAACUGAGUUUGAAGGUGAAAGAAGUGAAGAUGGUCAUCUGUGCAGAG